GAAAACUUUAUGCUUAGAUGUUCCAACUAGAUGGAAUUCUACCUACUUAUCGCACGACUUAUUAUUUUAAUUUUUUUCAGAUUUAGCUAGCAAUGGGAAAGACCCUUCUGUAAUUGACGUGUAGUGUUAAUAUAUUUGGUAAGAUUAUUCAUCAGCAAUUCUUUUUCUGAAACUCUUCACUUCUGUGCUUUACAUGUUAAUGGUUUGUGUUCUAUUCUAACUGAAUACAAUUCCCACAACCUUCUCAUGGCAUUGCUGUCUUUGUACAGCUUACUGGCCUUUGUGAAAACAUUAAAGUAUCUACAUAGUUGAUGUUAUAUUUUUUCCCUAUUCUGGUUUCAUGAUCCCAUGCCUUUAUUUUAAAAUAGUACUCAGUCCUUUCCUUACUGUCCACCUGAACUGAAACCAUGUCUUUAAAUCUCUUUAAAUCUUAUAAGAAGCUCCUUAUGAAUGUGAUCCUGUUGAGCACCUUAGGAAUUCCAUGUUCAAAUCUGUGAACCUAUAGUCGUAUUGAGGAGCGUUGAUCAUGUUUCUGAUAUUUCUUAUAACUUUUGUAAAAGUUGUAAGUUGUAACUGUUUGUCUGAACCUUUACUGAUGCCCUUUUACUUCGGUAUGUGUGUGUUCUUUCAGAUUGGACUUGACUAAAAAGUUUAUCAAGUCGGCAGAAGAUAUGUGCAAAUCGAAGGAAAAGGAAAUU
rnacentral:lncRNA from 1 species